rnacentral:piRNA from 1 species
UCAUCAGCUCACGUUUAAGGUGACGCUC